CUUCCUCAGGACAGAAACCUCCCGUCCUGCACACAGUGUACACCUGUGCAGGCCAGGAACCAAGGCAUUCAGGCUCUUAAGCACCCCGGGCUGGAACAUACUCUUCUCACAAGGUGCACCUGAGAGCUUUCUGGAGGGCUUUCUCACUGUUUCUGAUGACUCCUAGGAAUGUUCAGGCUUGAGCUCUGGGUGCAAAGAGACCAUGUUCCAAGUCAGUGUCCCAUAACGAAAGAGAAGGGAGAAAAAGGCCAUAACCAGCCUGGCUCCAAAGAGGAUUGGGGGACAGGAAGGAUGGGAGCUCCAGGGAAGUCUGGGCCCCACAUUCCUUUCUGAACUUCCCUCUGAAGCUCCCGGGGUGGGCAGGACCACCCAUCUGCCUAUCAAAGGCUGAAAUUCAGAGCCUGAGCCAAACAGCAAGAAAGGCUUCUUUACCAUGUUAUUUUGCAAAGUAAAUACAUCUUUACAGAGGAGACUUGCUCUUACAAGUCCCCAUACCACCUGCUAUAGAGGUCGAAGGGGAGCUGCUGUUCUCAGGACUAGAUGUUGAUUCAAUCCUGAUGGACUCGAUUAGGUAAGAAUUCACUGUGGUGGUAUUCAAAGAGUUGUUGUGUUUGUUUGCACGUGAUAUUUCCCCCAAAGAAAACCUACACUGGCCACCAUAUACAAAUCCAUCAGUUCAGGCAGCAUCAGCAGCUGGUCACUGUGGUUCCCUUGCCUGCUUGGCUCCUCCAGGCCCUUCGGAGGCUGCCUCUAGGACACCUCUCGGGAUCCCCACACUCCUCUGUGUUCAGUUGGGAAAGACAGAAUUGAUCAAUAUCACCAAGUGUUGGCUUGGAUUAGGCUCAAUGAGCAGAGUGGCUGGAUUUGCCCAGAGCCUAACAUGCUUCAGCUAAAUGUCAGAGUAGACCUUCUGCUCCACAUUGGCCUUGGAAGGCCUCUAAAAAUAUUCCCUUUAGUAAACCAGCAGUUCCCACCCCAGGGACUAUGGGUGGGUGCCUUGGUCUCUGCAUUGUAUAAGCCCCAAACCAGUAAGAGCCUCCUUGGCCUCCCUCAAAUAUUCAUUAGCAGCAAGUAGGAAUAAUGUUUAAAUUACAGGAUUACACAUUGAACUAAAUUAACCUUUUCUGGAACGAAUGUGUCCUUAAUACUUACAUUAAAAACUAAUUAAUGCAUUCUGAUUUAGGAAAAAGAGAAAAGGGUUCCCUUAUUUCCAAGCAUCUUGUGUCAACAGCCAACUUUAGGUUCUGUAAUUGCCACUCCUGAAUAAUUAAAAGUCAAGGUCAUGCACGUCACUGAAGAAACCUAUAAUUAACAUCUAAGCAUACGCAUUAGAUUCUCUAAAUCGACUGAUUGUUCUUAAAAAGGUGGUAAGGGGGUAAGAGCUUGACCUAGUAUAUUUUUUAAAAAACAACCUUUCUUAUUUCCAUAGUUUUUUUUUUUUUUAAUAAGGAAAUAAACACGUACUUAAAAUAAACUCACUGGUUAAAUGACAGGCAUUUUAUAGAUAGAUAUUGCAGGGUUUUUAAAAAGUUGCAGUAACAUGAUCUACAUGGUAGAUAGUAGAAGGAAUGUCAGAUAUUAUCAGAUCCUACAGCCACAUUCUUUCUACAAGUAAAGAAUCUGAAGUCCAGGUGGGUAACAGAAAUUUCCUCAUAUCGCACAGCUAGCCAGUAAGCAGACAGAAAAUGAGAACUUCCAUGUUUAUGUAGUGCUUUUCUGACCAUUUCCUGUAGUAACAGCAAGGCAGUCAAUAAACAUCUCCCAGAGUUGCUGUUUUGCUUACAUUGCUGUUUUUGCAAUUCAAAUAGCGUUCAUCAGACACAGUAUAUGCAGCUGACAAGGAAAGCCCGCAACGGUUUAUGCCCUGCACAUAUUUGUUAUGAAAGGAACAAUCCUCAAGGUUUCAGAUGUCUCCUUCCUCAGUUGGGCCUCCGUGGACCAGCUAGAUAUGGGUCUUUCUGAAAAGCCGAAGACAGUGGGAGAAAGGGCAGAACACAGGGAUUUUACGGAAGUGAGAAGUGGGCAGUAGGGCGUGGCCUACUGGUUCUCAACCCCAGACUUACCACAAUCACUCAGAGAGAUUUUCUAAAGUACCAAUGUUGGGCUAUCCCUCCAGAGAUUCUGAUUUAUUUGACCUGAGCUGGGGCCCAGGCACUGGCUUUUCCCAAGAUUCCUUGGGUGAUGAUGGGAUUGAGAACCACUGCAUAGCAAAGUCUUGGUGUCAGACAGAGCUAGGCUAAAAAUCCCCAGCCCUGGCACAUAUACCUAUUUUCUCUGAAUUUCCUUUAUGUUUGCAUGUGUGCUAAGUCCCUUUAGUCAUGUCUGAUUCUUUGCAACCCUAUGGACUCCAGCCUGCCAGGCUGCAGUCCAUGGUGUUGCUAAGAGUCAGACAUGACCGAGUGACUUCACUUUCUCUUUUCACCUUCAUGCAUUGGAGAAGGAAAUGGCAACCCACUCCAGCGUUCUUGCCUGGAGAAUCCCAGGGACGGGGGAGCCUGGUGGGCUGCUGUCUAUGGGGUCGCACAGAGUCGGACACGACUGAAGCGACUUAGCAGCAGCAGCAGCAUAUACACCAUAUGUAUAUUAAAAAAAAAAAAAAAUUCCUAUCCCAUUGAGUGGCUAUAAGCAUUAAAUUGGAAUAGUAUAUAAAGCAAAGAGUAGUUUCUCAAUAAAUUUGACUCUUCUUUCUUUUCUACAUUUUAAUGGUGAUAGCAAAGAAGUAGCCUGAAGUCAUCCAAUGAAAGAGAACAGGCAUGAGGGUCACUAGAGGGGCCUGACAUUUUGAAUGGUGUUUGGCAUAGAUCAGUAUAUCUGAAUUCUUCUCUGCGUUCUGCUCUCUUCACCACUCCCCCCCCCUUUUUUUUUUCUGGAAUAAAUAUCCAUGUAAAUCAAGAGCUGGACACACUUAAUCCCCCAGGAAGCAGGGCUGUCCAGUCAAUGAUUUGCAUCACUUGAUUCUGGUUGGGCAACUUCCAUGGAGCUUGCACUUAUAUAGGUUUUCUGCUUGUAAGCUGUAGCUUUACACUAGCUUUACUCUUUUUAGGAGAUCAAGUGAAGGCAGGAGGAGAUUGGCUAGGGGCAGAGACACCACUCCUCUCGGUCAGACACACGUUGUGUUACUUCUGUACAUGAGGUGGUUCUCUGCCAGUCCAGCCUUUGUAAGAUGCCUCAAUGAAUGUGCAAAUAAUUGCACACGGCCCCACCCAGAGGCAUCAGAUACCAUUUUCAUUCUCAUUUGUGAACACACAGCAUAUGAAAAAUUCUGGUGCCACAGGAGCCAGGGCAUGGAACUAAAGUAUGUAAAUAGUAGCAAUCAGUGCCUUGUCCAAAAGCAAAAAUUGUACUCCAGGCUUGGCUUUUUAUUCCAUGUGUACUUCAAAAGCUGCAGAAAGUGAAACAAACAAAAAUCCAGAGCCCUUACCUCUGGACUCUUGCUCUUCUUCAGGCAACCCUGCUCCAGACCACUGUUUGGCAUCUGCCUAUAUUCAGUGAUGGCAGUCAGGCCCUCUCCAGCCAAAGGGCCAUCUCUUGUGCCUAACUCUUGUGCCUGUCUUUGAGUAGAACUUCUGCCCAGGCCCUGGCCAACAGUCUGGUUUGGGGUUCUUUUCCAUUACCCAUUGCUUUUGGUGCUGCUGCUAAGUUGCUUCAGUCGUG
ensembl:lncRNA